rnacentral:precursor_RNA from 15 species
GCUGUGCAACAUUAAAACGUCACCUGAUGUAGGUCGUGCCUGGUGCUUAUUUGUUGUUAUGCGAAAAUACAAAUUGCACUAGUCCCGGCCUGCAGUGAGUGUCGCAAACAACGUCUGUGUGUG